ensembl:lncRNA
GAUAAAAGGGUGGAUGAAUUUAUGUGGGUUUCUUUUACAGGAGUAGAAGGAUGACAAAAUAUUCGAGGAUGAGUGAACCUGUAAAUGCCAUUUUUGUGUCUUGUGUUGCUUACAGAGGUAACUGCGCAGCGUUACCAUUUACAUUUUCUUCCCUACAGGGUUACAGUUUUAAUGUUUUUCUAUUACAGGAUUUCUGGGCGGAUGUGUGAAGAAACGGUGUUUAUGGGUUAGGAGUUGGGGAUGCUAUUACACUGUAUUUACAGGAAAUGUUUUAUAGCACCUAUGGAAUGAGGAUGCCUGACUACGGUCAAUGUGCUGCUAAUGUUUGCUUUGCUUUGGUGAGAGGGGUGCAGUAGAAAACAGACAAGUGACAUGAAAACAAGUAAUAAUAACAAAUAACAAAUUUGGGGACAGUUUGACCUAGAGCCCACUAACUGGCCAUUAGGGGCUCUCUCUCUCUCUCUCUCUCUCUCUCUCUCUCUCUCUCUCUCUCUCUCUCUCUCUCUCUCUCUCUCUCUCUCUCUCUCUCUCUCAGGUUGUUGCUUUUUAACUCCUAGAACACGCCCUUGGCGAGGUGGGGGGAACUGGACCACCUUUCUGUGCCCCAUCAUCCUCUAUUAGACGACAUCCAAGCUAAGACAGCUGUUACUGCUUUCAUCGGGAACCGAGACUGCUUGCAGCCGACCCCUGGGCAGGGUGGUGCCUGGACUCUUUUCUCCUCAUCUGCAAUGACAGAUAAAGACAAAUGAUAAGACCCGAGGAGUUUUUCGAGCCAGGCUUCGACACGUCUCUGUGUUCCUUUGAAUGUUACUUAUUUUUGUGUGUUGACCCAUUUAAGAUGGGUCAAAAGGGGGAUUUGAAGAAAAUAUAAUUUGAUCAAACAUUAUUCAGCUUUAAAUAUUGUUCAGCUUUAAAGUUACUGUGCAACUGUGUAAUAAAAAUAUGCGCUCACGACUUUGGCCUUGAGAGCGAUAAGAAGCGAUCGCCUCAUUCUGCAGGUGCAAGAUAUCUGCAAGCGAAGAGACUAGAACACCCAAGGCCGCUUUCCUUUUAUGGAGUUGUUUUUCUGCUAAUGCAGCACUGUCCUCACAACCCCCUCCUGUAAGUUUUAGAGAAUAUAUACCCAUCCUCACAGCAAAUAUUAGGAAUCUCCUGAUGUGAGCUGUUUGAGAGGUUGUCUCUGUCUCAAUAAAAGUUCACUGAUUCCCCC